rnacentral:rRNA from 1 species
GCAUAUCAAUAAGCGGAGGAAAAGAAACUAACAAGGAUUCCCCUAGUAGCGGCGAGCGAAGCGGGAAGAGCUCAAAUUUAUAAUCUGGCACUUUCAGUGUCCGAGUUGUAAUCUCUAGAAGUGUUUUCCGCGUUGGACCGCACACAAGUCUGUUGGAAUACAGCGGCACAGUGGUGACACCCCCGUACACGGUGCGGACGCCCAGCGCUUUGUGAUACACUUUCGAAGAGUCGAGUUGUUUGGGAAUGCAGCUCAAAUUGGGUGGUAAAUUCCAUCUAAAGCUAAAUAUUGGCGAGAGACCGAUAGCGAACAAGUACCGUGAGGGAAAGAUGAAAAGCACUUUGGAAAGAGAGUUAACAGUACGUGAAAUUGUUGGAAGGGAAACGCUUGAAGUCAGACUUGCUUGCCGGAGCUUGCUUCGGUUUGCAGGCCAGCAUCAGUUUUCCGGGGUGGAUAAUGGCGGUUAGAAGGUAGCAGCUUCAGCUGUGUUAUAGCUUUCCGCUGGAUACAUCCUGGGGGACUGAGGAACGCAGCGUGCUUUUAGCGGGGGUUUCGACCUCUUCACGCUUAGGAUGCUGGUGUAAUGGCUUUAAACG